UCGCGGCCCAUUUUAGUCUUGGUUUGCUUAUGAGUUAGGGCCUGGUUAAAGCCCAACUGAGUAUCAGCACGAGGCCCUAGUUUACUGCAGUCGUAAAAUUCGCUAAAAAAAAUACAACAGUCCUAAAACAUGGUUGUCUUUUGGAAAAUCAUUCCGUUCAGCCGGCCGAUCAAGCGCAAUGCUCCGCCGCCCACGCAGCCGUUGGAUCCCAUCUGAUCCAACCGCACAUAUUCACAACUGUUUUUGCUAGCACCAACCAGUCACGUGAUCCCAUCUACUGCGCUACACGGCAAUGUUUAUGCAACAAGACCUAUGUUGCAAAAACAAAUCUGCAAAACACCUUUGUUGCAAAACAAAAUCAGUAACAAGUCAUGUGUUGUUAAAAAAUUCUCAAAACAAUUCCGCAACAAGUCCUUUGUUGUAAAAAAUAACUGCAACACAACAUUUGUUGCAAAUGUUUCUGCAACAAAGCCCAUGUUGCAAACGGGUUACAACUUAUGUUGCGAAAGUGAGGGCGCUGCUCGGCCGCGAGAUCUUGUCUGAUCUUACGGCUCCGAACCGGGCGGAUCUUUUAAACAGAUCCGCCAACCGACACACGCCCCUUGUUUUUUACUGUUGUUAUUAUAUAAACAAAUCUUCUUACGGUCCGGUGAUGAUGAAAUAUUUCUACUAGUUUCACUGGAACUUCAGUUAUAUAUUCAACACGCGAACGCUUGAAAAUGUGUGUCUUUGCAUAUUAUAUUAGAAUGCCAACAAACUUGCAAACUUUCGAAUCAUACUCCCCGCAAAAAAUAUCUGAUCAUAUUAUAAUCUACAUAGAUCUUUGUGUGAUUUUCCUGAAGUCAUCAUCUAUUGUUGUGACAAAACCAUCUAUAUUUUUUGUAGGACCAUCGCGGCGUCUUCUCCCACCUUGCCGGACAGCUGUCGUCGUCUUCCUCCGCCUCGCCAGACCACCCCCACCUCAACCUCGUCUUCUUCCACCCAAGGUUGAUGAGGUUAUCCUCCUCACCAAGCAAUCUCCCUCCCUCCAUCACCCUUGUGUAUGUGUUCUUGGAUCCUGACACAUGUCUUGGGUACACACGAGUACAAAUCUUGACCAUAACCAAACCAAACCUAUCAUGAAGUAUAUGUGUUGUGUAUAUUGACUGUUGGGUUCCAGGCUUCCAGUGCAUGUAUUGUAUUUGCAAUGUGUACUUUUCCGGUUAUGGUUGAGUCUCUUAGACACAACUGCUUAGCUCAACAUAAGAAUAGUUUAGAAAAGGAAACAUCUAUCUUAGAAUGCUACAUGGGACAUGUAUUAAUUCCUUGUGCUGAUGUCCAGCUUUCUGCAAUCCCUUUGGUUUUGAAUUUGUGUUACUUAGUCCCUAAUAUAAUUUGUAUAUUCUAGUCCCUCCAUCCCAAAAUUCUUGUCUUAGAAUUGUCUAGAUACGGAUGUAUCUAAUACUAAAACUUGACUUGAUACAUCCAUGUUUAGACAAAUUAAGACAAGAAUUUUGGGACGGAGGGAGUAUAAAACAUGUUUUGGUGCUUGGAAUUUGUAGGGAAAUCAUUAGAGCAUGUUCAAGGUAGUGACAAUUUUAUGCAAGCCCUCUACUAGUAAGUACUUCAUAAUUGUCUGUAACUACUCGUUUCUUCACCGGUAUCACACCCGCGCCGGAUUGAACAUCAGAUUUGGAACCCACCCAAAUCGAUUGAUGCAUUAUCAUACCGAAAUUUGGAUCCAUUUGGCUCCACAGGAGCAAGUGCGGGAGUUCUAAUAGGACUUUGAGACUAAUCCUCCGAGCGAGAACAGAGAGAAGUAGUUGCGGGGAGGUUUGAUAGGGUUAGGACAAGAAGAAAUCCAUAUUAGUUUGACGGUGUCAAUGUGGACCUUCUAAGCACCAAUUUAUUAUAAGUAAUCCUGAUCAAAUAAAACAAAGUCCUUCUGAGCGAAGGCACCUUUCUCUCUGUGUGGAAAAAUGAAGAAGAUGAUGCUUCGGCGUCCGUUUCUAGCUCUGCUUGAGCCGCUUCGUCCGUUUCUCUGAUGUAGAUGUCGGCGACGGUGACUCAGAUCUCCUUCUCUCACUUUCGGGGUCAGCCAGCCAUGAGCAGUGAGAACGAGUUCAUGGACGCAUUUCACUCUUUUUCUGAAGCUGUUGAUUCACGUUGCCGAAGGCUGCAACGAAGGAAAUGGAGUAGCAGAGAACCCUUUUUUUUUUUGACAUCAUGGAGUAGUAGAGAACCUGGCGGCACACGCUCUAUGGAUCGAUCGGUAGCUGCCCCAUGCCACUGAUGAACGGCGCAGUGUGUUUGUCUCGUUCCGACCGAUUUCCCGUGAAACCAAUUGAAUGCAAGCAAAUCCUCAGUUCAUUCACUCCAUUUCUCCCCCAUCCCGUGAUCAACAUUUAUAUCAUCAGCCAGCAUUUAAUCCUUCCCCUCGGCCGUGCGCCUGUGCCCCUCUGACACUAUAAAACCUGCGCAGCCUGCCACCUCUUUCCCUCCAUCAUCCAACGAUCGCGCCAUUUCCGGUGCAAAGAUGGCUUCGCCGCUGAUGUCCGCGCUGACGUUGGUCGUUGCCAUGGUGGCCAGCUUCGGCCGGCCGUGCCGGGGCGAGUUCACGGUGGUGGUGCCGGGCGCGGGGGCGCUGGUGGACGCGCCGCAGCCGGGGUUCUCGGACCGGGCGCGCACCGACCCGGCGGAGCAGCGCGCCGUGCUGGAGGUGAUGGCGGCGACGGGCAACGGGUGGGCGUCCGGCAUCGCGGACGUGUGCCGCGGCCGGUGGCACGGCAUCGAGUGCGUGCCCGACCGCGCCGACGUCUACCACGUCGUCUCCCUCUCCUUCGGCGCGCUCUCCGACGACACCGCCUUCCCGGCCUGCGACCCCGCGCGCGCCGCGCUCUCCCCCGCCGUGCUCGCGCUCCCGCACCUCCGCUCCCUCUUCUUCUACCGCUGCUUCACCGCCAACCCGCAGCCCGUCCCGGCCUUCCUCGGCCGCCUCGGCCCCGCCUUCCGCUCCCUCGUGCUGCGCCAGAACGGCCACGUCGGCCCCAUACCGCCCGAGAUCGGGAGCCUCUCCGGCCUGCGCGUGCUCGACCUCCACGGCAACCAUCUCACCUCCGCCAUCCCGGCCACCGUCCAGUGGUUGGACCGCCUCCAGCUGCUCGACCUCAGCUACAACCGGCUCGCCGGCCAGGUGCCCAACCUCAGGUUCCAGCAGCUCAGCAUCCUGGACCUCAGCCACAACGCGCUGCAGGGCCGCGUCCCGGCGAGCCUCGGGCAAUGCCGGUCUCUCCUCAAGAUCGACCUCAGCCAGAACCGCCUCGCCGGCACCAUCCCGGACGCUCUCGGCGACCUACCCGACCUCAUACUGCUCGAUCUCAGCCACAACGCGCUGUCCGGCCCGAUCCCGGCGGCGGUCGGCAGGCUGUCGACGCUGCGGUCGCUCAUCCUCGGCGACAACCCGAUGCAGCUCUCGACGAUCCCCGGCGACCUCUUCACGGGGCUCAAGGCGCUGACCACGCUGGUCCUCUCGGGCAUGGGGCUGCAAGGGCCGCUGCCGGAGUCCAUCGGGGGCCUGAGCCAGCUCCGCGUGCUCCGCCUGGACAGCAACGGGUUCACCGGCGUGAUACCGGCGAGCUUCCGGCGGCUGGAGAAGGCGAGCGAGCUCCGCGUGGACGGCAACCGGCUCGUGGGGCCGAUCCCGUUCGGCAAGCAGAUGAUGUGGAGGCUGGGCAAGAAGCUGCGGGUCGGCGGCAACGAGGGGCUCUGCUACGACGCCAAGCAGGAAGGGCUGGAGGGCGCCAUGGCGCUGGCCGGCGUCGCGGACUGCGCCAGCGUGGGGAGCCGCACCACGACGCAGCACUUGAGCUGGAAGAACAGCGGCGGUGCGACUGCGACGGCGACGGCUACGGCUAACGUGACGUCGUCAGCCGCAGAUUCAAAUUCUGGCCGGGGUGGCGGGCACUUUUUCUUGGUCGUUUUGGUGUGUUUGCAGCUUGCAUUGUUGUAGGUAGAGGAGCUGGGGCUUCUGUGGCGGUUGAUUGGUGGUGCAGAGUUUUUUUACACCGGGAAGAAUAAGGAUCUGUACAAAGCCUUCUUGCUGAUUGCGGCUUUUGCCCGCUGUAGCCAGGUGAACAAAAUUGUUUCCAGAGAUUUUUGAAGAAGCAUGUCUUUUUUCGGCUAAGUUGCUAUGAUUAUUACCCACGGUGAAAGAUUGAUGGAUCAACCGCUCUGACAUGAACGUCCGAAAACGCAAAGCUUGUGCAUCCCUCACCAUACUCAUUACUUGGUCUAAUUGGAAUGAAAGAAAUGCACAAAGCUUGUGCAUCCCUCACCAUAUUCAUUACUUGGUCUAAUUGGAAUGAAAGAAAUGCACGAGUCUUUCGCAGCAAGCCUUCUUGGCCAACAAUCUUGCACAACAACAUGAAGCUUAAGCUUCUCUUUGAAUGGCUGUGGGCGCAAAAAAACUAGGGAGCAUCAUACUGGAAGAGUAACAACUUAUGUAUGUCCGGGCUUGUAACAAAAACAGUAUAUUCCCUUCUCAAUUAAUAUAUAUGGCAAAUCUUUUGCCACGUUUAAAAAAAAACGAUCGUACGAUGCUAUGAUCUGACAAUUCCCAUUCCACCCCCACCUCGAGUAUACAAGUCUUGAGCGCCUUUGGAAAGUGAUUUUACACCUAAUGUGGCUGCUAUACAACACAAUAAGAGUCGCCUUAGGCCUUGUACAAUGAAAGAUGCUUAGGAUGGUGCUUAGAAAAAUAAACCGGAUUUUUCUGAAGCACCGGUGCCUAUUUCUAUAGAAGAGACGCUUAGUUAAGCGUCUACCCUGUACAAAUAAGCACCGGUGCUUAAGAAAUCCUGGUUUAUUUCUCUAAGCACCUCUUCUAAGCACCUCCCAUUGUAUAAGGCCUUAUAAGCGGCUAUGCCACGUCAAACAUUUACUGUCGCAGGGAUUGGUCGGUUAGAUGUUCAUCUACCCAGAUAACACCUCCCCAAGUUCACGUAAAAAAACACUUUAACUUUCUUCCCUUAUCUUCGCUGGGAAGGCAGCCCACGCACGCGACCUCCCCCCUCUCUCUCGUUUCCUCUCCCGAAUCCGCCGCCACGACUGCCGCCAGAGGGAGAGGAACUGGCUCCGCUCUUCCAUGCAACAACACCAACGCCAUCGUCUCCUGGAGGAGUGGGUGGGAGGAGAAGGCGGCGGCAGUUUCGAUCUGUCAUCUGCCUCGACGGGGGAGAAGGCGGAUCGAUCCGAUCGAAGUGGCUGCCGGAAGGAUGGGACGAAGAAGUCGUCGUUGGCUGGCCGAGGGUCAGGUGAGGACGAGGGGAAGCGGCUACGAGCACGCCAUCGGUGUUGGAUCGAUGGUGUCAUGCCUCUGCGGCCGGGAUUAGGCUAGGCAGAUGAGAAGCAGCGGCGCGCCCCCACUCCACCGAGCUCCAUAUCAAUGGCAACAUCAGCGAGGUGAGCAGCGGCUAAAGGCUCCCACCUGAAGAAAUCGAGGCGUUGGCGGCGGAGUCGAUGGGGAGAAGGCCCCGCCUUGAUGCAGUUGGAGACGCUGCUGGCGCUCAGCCUCAAACAGCAAAGUCACCUUGUAACGAAGGUAAACAUCGCCUCCUAUCCUUACACUUGUAGCCUUGAUUUUGAUGAGGGCUGGUUUGUGCGGACCCUGCGGCUAGGGUUUGAUUUUUGUUUGUCUGCGAUGCAAAUUGCGUUGGUUUACCUGACGGAAUCAGGGCCACUUAUCUCAUCUUGGCUACCUUUACGUACUGGCUACUGCAUUGCAAAACCAGAAGCUCGUAGAAUAAUGAUGAUUAUUAAUUAAAAGAAUCUGAAACUCUCUGGCAAUUUUCUCUAGCUGAUAGCAAGAAUAAUGAACAGCAAGCACUACACCCGAUUAGUGCAGCGAAUGCCGAAUCAAGGUCCAUCUGAAUAUAAUUUCAUUAUGUUUGCCUUGUGAUGCAGAUGUGGGCAUAUAAGUUUGAUAUCUUGUUGCCGAUAGUUGCUUUUCAUUUGUCAUUCACCUGAUGUAGAUCCCUGAACCCUUGUGCUUUGAACCUGAACCUGAAGAUUUUAUAGCUGUUCAAAGGAAGAGAUGUUGAAAUGGAACCUCCGUCAGUGUGCUUGGCAUGUGACUACUGUAGUGUGGGUGCAUGUGUAUUCAGUGUCCUUUGAAUGUCCACUGUUGGGUCCUUUGAAUGUCCACUGAUGGGAUGCACACUUCGAUGUGUAGCGAACUCAUAAUUUGUAGUCUCGCUGAUGGUUCAAAUAACGAGAAACUGAAGAAUCUGUUUUGUCAUCAUCCCAGGUUUCACAAAAUUCAAACAUACAUCAUUUCCAUGCCAGGUUACAUAUUUUAGGUGCCAGAGGAUUGUCGAAAGAAACUCAGAUGUUUGAGAAAUUCUACUCACUUCAAGCUCUCAUCACUUGCAUAUCUAUGUGCUACCCACACUGCAUUUUGUUUUUUGAAAUGGCCGCCUCCUACCAGGCACCGCCCAGGAACUUCUCAGGCGGCAGAUUUCGGCUUGUCAACAAGGUCGUCUCACACCCCUCUUCUUCUCCCCUUGGUUCUAUUCGAUUUGGAUGCUCUGUGUAUGAUUUGUUUCUUUGUCAAGCUGCAUAUCUCUUGUGUAUAGUUUCAACUACAUUGAAGUUAUGCAUCCAUUUUCAUUGCAUCACUUACCACAAGAUGUAUCCAAUAAAUCCUUGUAUAUAUAGUGACGAGCGUAAACAGUGAUGUUCGUAAGGAUUUGGUCUACGAACGGGGAUGUAUACAAGCAGUGCUUAUCUCGGGAAUGUGUGACAGUGGUGAAACACAGGAAAAUACCUAGCAAAACAAGUAAGAGGGCCAACGGAUUUUUUUUACAAGGGCCACAUGAGCUAUUUUCUAAUGCUCAAUUUGCAACUCGGCAUCAGGUAUACCGUGGCCCGUGGGUAAAAUCGCCCCUGUACCUUUGUGUGAAGUUUGUUGAAAUGAUUUUGGAACUAGAGCGCUGAUAAUACUUACCUAUUAAGGCUCGCAGUAUACCCCUCCACACUGCUCUGCCAAUUUUUCUUUUGGAAAGACUAUUGUCAUAUGGUCUUCCGGAGUACCAUAUAACACAUGAAAAUUAUGAAGAGCUUUGAAGAUUUAUGGAGCAGUCUCUGACUCCAAUUAAAGAUGUACUCAUGCAGUCAGGCAUGAAAAUUGGUGACAUCUAUGCUGUAGAGCUAAUAGGAGGAGCUACCAGGGUACUGAAACUGCAUGCGAUUAUUGCUCUCAUUCAUUCGACAAGUUGGAUUCUGGCGGAUCGGCAAUCGGCAGGCCGGCUGGAUCGUGUGCCCGCCUGUUCUUAAUUUGAAAGAAUAAAUCAUUGGUGCUCUAGGUUGCUGGAGAACCUUGGAGGUUGAUUCAUGGGAAUCAUUACCAGGCGCAAACUCUCCUGUACCUAAUUUUCAUUGAGUUUCUUUAUGGUGCCAGUACUAGGAGCUCCUCGUCACCUGAGUGGUUGAUUCAUUUGAAUCGUUACCAAGCCGGUGAGGACGAGUUGUUGUCUCCUAGAGUGGUGGUCGAGAUUCGAGAGUCAAGGGCAGCGGUGAAGGUUAGAGAGGAAAAUAAAGUAAGCAGCGAGCAGAUGUAGCGUGGGGUGCAAGGGAACUAGGCGGCUAUCAAGAAUUUCAGAUGGUGGUGAGAUGUUUCGGGUCGACCAUGUGGAAUUUCUAUGUGUACGCUCAUGAGGGUCCCUCGCCGUGCCGUGGACACAGCGGCCUCGCCGGACCAUGGUGCAGACGAGCCAUGAGCUAACGUAGUUGGUGGCUCCCGUCACACACACCGGCUGGUUCUACUCCGGCAAGCCACCGCCGCCGCUGCCCAUCUCGAUCUCUCCCCGUGUCUCCUUCAGGCAAGGGUGCUGGACGCGGCGGACGGGAGAUAAAGCGGUGGAGCUGUCAGUCCGUCAACGCUCUUUCUAAAGUGGUGUCGGUAAAAAUAGCUAACUUGUAGGUUGUUAGUACUGUGCUACAAUUCCGCUUACUUAUAUGGAAAGAGACAAGAUUCAUUUCCAUUGCC